UUAAGCGACUAAGCGUACACGGUGGAUGCCCUGGCAGUCAGAGGCGAUGAAGGACGUGCUAAUCUGCGAAAAGCGCCGGCGAGGUGAUAUGAACCUUUGACCCGGCGAUGUCCGAAUGGGGAAACCCAGUGUGAUUCGUCACACUAUCGUUAACUGAAUACAUAGGUUAACGAGGCGAACCGGGGGAACUGAAACAUCUAAGUACCCCGAGGAAAAGAAAUCAACCGAGAUUCCCCCAGUAGCGGCGAGCGAACGGGGAGCAGCCCAGAGUCUGAAUCAGCUUGUGUGUUAGUGGAAGCGUCUGGAAAGUCGCACGGUACAGGGUGACAGUCCCGUACACGAAAGCACACAGGUUGUGAACUCGAAGAGUAGGGCGGGACACGUGGUAUCCUGUCUGAAUAUGGGGGGACCAUCCUCCAAGGCUAAAUACUCCUGACUGACCGAUAGUGAACCAGUACCGUGAGGGAAAGGCGAAAAGAACCCCGGCGAGGGGAGUGAAAAAGAACCUGAAACCGUGUACGUACAAGCAGUGGGAGCACCUUCGGGUGUGACUGCGUACCUUUUGUAUAAUGGGUCAGCGACUUAUAUUCUGUAGCAAGGUUAACCGUAUAGGGGAGCCGAAGGGAAACCGAGUCUUAACUGGGCGUUAAGUUGCAGGGUAUAGACCCGAAACCCGGUGAUCUAGCCAUGGGCAGGUUGAAGGUUGGGUAACACUAACUGGAGGACCGAACCGACUAAUGUUGAAAAAUUAGCGGAUGACUUGUGGCUGGGGGUGAAAGGCCAAUCAAACCGGGAGAUAGCUGGUUCUCCCCGAAAGCUAUUUAGGUAGCGCCUCGUGAACUCAUCUUCGGGGGUAGAGCACUGUUUCGGCUAGGGGGCCAUCCCGGCUUACCAACCCGAUGCAAACUACGAAUACCGAAGAAUGUUAUCACGGGAGACACACGGCGGGUGCUAACGUCCGUCGUGAAGAGGGAAACAACCCAGACCGCCAGCUAAGGUCCCAAAGUCAUGGUUAAGUGGGAAACGAUGUGGGAAGGCACAGACAGCCAGGAUGUUGGCUUAGAAGCAGCCAUCAUUUAAAGAAAGCGUAAUAGCUCACUGGUCGAGUCGGCCUGCGCGGAAGAUGUAACGGGGCUAAACCAUGCACCGAAGCUGCGGCAGCGACGCUUAUGCGUUGUUGGGUAGGGGAGCGUUCUGUAAGCCGUUGAAGGUGUGCUGUGAGGCAUGCUGGAGGUAUCAGAAGUGCGAAUGCUGACAUAAGUAACGAUAAAGCGGGUGAAAAGCCCGCUCGCCGGAAGACCAAGGGUUCCUGUCCAACGUUAAUCGGGGCAGGGUGAGUCGACCCCUAAGGCGAGGCCGAAAGGCGUAGUCGAUGGGAAACAGGUUAAUAUUCCUGUACUUGGUGUUACUGCGAAGGGGGGACGGAGAAGGCUAUGUUAGCCGGGCGACGGUUGUCCCGGUUUAAGCAUGUAGGCGGAGGUUCCAGGUAAAUCCGGUACCUUAUUAACGCUGAGGUGUGAUGACGAGGCACUACGGUGCUGAAGUAACAAAUGCCCUGCUUCCAGGAAAAGCCUCUAAGCAUCAGGUAACAUCAAAUCGUACCCCAAACCGACACAGGUGGUCAGGUAGAGAAUACCAAGGCGCUUGAGAGAACUCGGGUGAAGGAACUAGGCAAAAUGGUGCCGUAACUUCGGGAGAAGGCACGCUGAUAUGUAGGUGAAGCCCCUGCGGGUGGAGCUGAAAUCAGUCGAAGAUACCAGCUGGCUGCAACUGUUUAUUAAAAACACAGCACUGUGCAAACACGAAAGUGGACGUAUACGGUGUGACGCCUGCCCGGUGCCGGAAGGUUAAUUGAUGGGGUUAGCGGCAACGCGAAGCUCUUGAUCGAAGCCCCGGUAAACGGCGGCCGUAACUAUAACGGUCCUAAGGUAGCGAAAUUCCUUGUCGGGUAAGUUCCGACCUGCACGAAUGGCGUAAUGAUGGCCAGGCUGUCUCCACCCGAGACUCAGUGAAAUUGAACUCGCUGUGAAGAUGCAGUGUACCCGCGGCAAGACGGAAAGACCCCGUGAACCUUUACUAUAGCUUGACACUGAACACUGGUCCUUGAUGUGUAGGAUAGGUGGGAGGCUUUGAAGCGUGGACGCCAGUCUGCGUGGAGCCGUCCUUGAAAUACCACCCUUUAAUGGCUGGUGUUCUAACGUAGACCCGUAAUCCGGGUUGCGGACAGUGUCUGGUGGGUAGUUUGACUGGGGCGGUCUCCUCCCAAAGAGUAACGGAGGAGCACGAAGGUUAGCUAAUCCUGGUCGGACAUCAGGAGGUUAGUGCAAUGGCAUAAGCUAGCUUGACUGCGAGAGUGACGGCUCGAGCAGGUGCGAAAGCAGGUCAUAGUGAUCCGGUGGUUCUGAAUGGAAGGGCCAUCGCUCAACGGAUAAAAGGUACUCCGGGGAUAACAGGCUGAUACCGCCCAAGAGUUCAUAUCGACGGCGGUGUUUGGCACCUCGAUGUCGGCUCAUCACAUCCUGGGGCUGAAGUAGGUCCCAAGGGUAUGGCUGUUCGCCAUUUAAAGUGGUACGCGAGCUGGGUUUAGAACGUCGUGAGACAGUUCGGUCCCUAUCUGCCGUGGGCGCUGGAGAAUUGAGGGGGGCUGCUCCUAGUACGAGAGGACCGGAGUGGACGCAUCACUGGUGUUCGGGUUGUCAUGCCAAUGGCACUGCCCGGUAGCUAAAUGCGGAAAAGAUAAGUGCUGAAAGCAUCUAAGCACGAAACUUGCCCCGAGAUGAGUUCUCCCUGAGACUUUAAGUCUCCUGAAGGAACGUUGAAGACGACGACGUUGAUAGGUCGGGUGUGUAAGCGCAGCGAUGCGUUGAGCUAACCGAUACUAAUGAACCGUGAGGCUUAACCUU
rnacentral:rRNA from 1 species